rnacentral:rRNA from 1 species
AUGAUUACUGUGCUAUGCAACUUCCAUUCGCCAGGGGGGACUGUGUUUACACAUCAUACCAUGGGUUUCAUGAAUCACCAUAUCCAGAGAUUCGCCGACACAGCUUGUUGCCAGAUAAUCUUCACUUACCAUACAACUAGAAUUAACCGAUGCAAGUCCAAGAAGGAUUGGUCGGUGCUACCGGCUGGCGUCAAGUUCAAUCCCACGGAUCAGGAGCUGAUCGAGCACCUUGAGGCCAAAGUGACUGCUGGCAGCGUGAGAUCUCACCCUCUCAUCGAUUUGUUCAUACCAACCAUCGACAGCGAGCACGACAUAUGCUACACCCAUCCUGAGAAACUUCCAGGUAUCACACUGAGUGGCCUAAGCAAGCAUUUCUUCCAGCGCAAUUCCAGGGCAUUCAAAAGGGGCACGUGGAUGCGUCGCAAGAUACAGUCGAAGUGUCUCAUGCAUGCGAUGUGGCACAAGACCGGCAAUACCUUGCCGGUGGUGGUCAACGGCCGGCAGACAGGCAGCAAAAAGGUUCUGGUGCUGCACACCAACAAGAACUUCGACCAGCAGAGGACCAACUGGGUGAUGCACCAGUACCACCUCGGGGACCUGGAGUAUAUUGUUUUUUCAGGUCAAGCAAGUUUCAACUGGGCUAUAGACUGCCCAGGCUUGGUUUUGUUUUUAACAGGCCCAACCCAUAACGACAACGGGCACAAAGAUCCAGCAGAAAAUUCUGAACCUAAAGUAGUUCAGCCUCUGCAGUUCCCCCUCGGGUACGUGAAAGAACAACAACCUGUACAAGACCAUGUUGCUGAGGAAGGAGUUGAUUAA